GCAGUCAUUGGGAUUAUUUUGUUCCAGCAAAAUCAUAUGGCCUCAGCUUUCCAAAGACUUGUAUCCCUUGUUUGCUUGAGGGGUCAGAUGGAAGAUAGUGCACUUAGUAGGCUAAACCAUUUCGGACUAUGUCUUGCACCAACAAGCAAGAUCAAUCUCCAGGAUGAAGCUGGGAAAUCCUCUAAAAUGCAGAUCAUUAAGUUUCUGAAACAUAACCCAAUGAUCAAAAUUACAGGAGACAACCUUGAUGUUAUGGU